CUCCUGCGGGUUUGGAAGAGGUUUGAUCCAUUUGUUCUCGGGGGGCUCCCUCAGCCAGCUGUCCAAAAAGCGUCUUAAAGUUGGUCUGGACUACCUUGUGCGUAGGGGCCGUGUGAGUAGAGGAAACGGUAACAAGCUGCUACCUGGGAUGACAGUCCCGGACUGGUGCCGCUUCAAACACCCGGUCAGGUCAUUUCGUGACAUUUCUCCUUCUCGGGAACAGCCCGUACUUCAGGGUCAGCAAAGAGGCUCAGUACAGGGCAGAUUCACAACUGAGCGUGGAGAGUCAUGUUUUGUUGUUGUUGUUGUUGUUGUUUUUUCUUUCCGUUUCUUUAACCUUAUUCCUUUCGCUCUGCUAAAGUUUCCAAAGCGAAGUCUAACUGAUACCUCUACCUCUCAGGUUUGGAGGCAAUGAGAUAGAGGUAUAAACAUGUAGGUAUAAACGGUUUAACAAUAGCACAUAAGAGGCUCUUUGCAGCAUGUGUGUAUGGAGAUGUAUGUACCAUAUAUGCACGGGUAAUUUGGUUAAAUGGUGUUUUCUUCAUUUCAGGUAUGCCUUGUAGACCCAACACAUCCAAGUGAAAGUCAGUCAUGAAAGGAGCUGGCCACUCUCUUGCACAGAUGUCUGCUCUGGAAGGCGCUGUCUCCUGGAUAGUCCACUCCUAGCUCUUACCAAAUGAAACAAAUGAUACCACCAACCCUGGAAGUUACGUACCUCAUUUUCAGCAGUAUGUUCUGUGAUCCUUCCCAGCAGAGUUUCUUGGGAACAAGUAUACAAGAUAAACGGCCUUUUCUUGGCCCAGGAGAAAAUAAGCAAGUUCUCCUGACUUCUGAUAUAGUGUAUCUCAAGAGAAGCACACAGUGCAGAAUGUAUGGGUUAGCUUACUUUGCAGGAACUUCCUUACAGAAGUGUCUUGAGUCCUUUCUCAAUACAGUUGUGCUUUUUAUAAUCUAGGUGCUCUGUUUUUAUUACGUAUUUUCAUGUUUUUAUAAUAGCGUAUACAUAUUAUAUAUAAUCACAGAGAUUAUAUGCAUAUUACAUGUUAUAUGGGUAUCUGUAGAUUUACAGACACACAAAAUUCAUGCAGCAUCAUAUAAAAUCUAAAUGUGGGUUUGCAGGCUAAACCCAACAAAUUGUUGAUUGCAUCCUCCAGGUAUCUCAUUGCCCUCAGGUCCAAGUGCAAUACACCCGAAGGCUUUAAAUAUUCUUUAAGAUUAAGUCUAGUUGUUCAUUUGGGGAAUAAAAAAAAAGUAGGAAAACAGCAGGCUAUCUUUUGAAAAUUAAUCCUGUCGUUUCUGCACCACUUGGGGAAAACAAUCCCCUUUAUACAUGCCUGGAAAGGCAUGUUCCAGUACACCCUGGAAAAAAAAAAA